rnacentral:misc_RNA from 1 species
GAUGAAGAACGUAGCGAAAUGCGAUAAGUAAUGUGAAUUGCAGAAUUCAGUGAAUCAUCGAAUCUUUGAACGCACAUUGCGCCCGCCAGUAUUCUGGCGGGCAUGCCUGUUCGAGCGUCAUUUCAACCAUCAAGCCCCCCGGCUUGUGUUGGGGACCUGCGGCUGCCGCAGGCCCUGAAAAGCAGUGGCGGGCUCGCUGUCACACCGAGCGUAGUAGCAUACAUCUCGCUCUGGGCGUGCUGCGGGUUCCGGCCGUUAAACCACCUUCAUAACCCAAGGUUGACCUCGGAUCAGGUAGGAAGACCCGCUGAACUUAAGCAUAUCAAUAAGCGGGGA